rnacentral:rRNA from 1 species
CAGGAUNAGAUACCCUGGUAGUCCACGCCNUAAACGAUGUCGAUUAGCUGUUGGGGCACUUGACGCCUUAGUAGCGUAGCUAACGCGUGAAAUCGACCGCCUGGGGAGUACGGUCGCAAGAUUAAAACUCAAAGGAAUUGACGGGGACCCGCACAAGCGGUGGAUGAUGUGGAUUAAUUCGAUGCAACGCGAAGAACCUUACCUGGUCUUGACAUGUACGGAACCUUCCAGAGACGGAAGGGUGCCUUCGGGAGCCGUAACACAGGUGCUGCAUGGCUGUCGUCAGCUCGUGUCGUGAGAUGUUGGGUUANNNNNNNNNNNNNGCGCAACCCUUGUCAUUAGUUGCCAUCAUUCAGUUGGGCACUCUAAUGAGACUGCCGGUGACAAACCGGAGGAAGGUGGGGACGACGUCAAGUCCUCAUGGCCCUUAUGACCAGGGCUUCACACGUCAUACAAUGGUCGGUACAGAGGGUAGCCAAGCCGCGAGGCGGAGCCAAUCCCAGAAAACCGAUCGUAGUCCGGAUUGCACUCUGCAACUCGAGUGCAUGAAGUCGGAAUCGCUAGUAGUCGCAGGUCAGCAUACUGCGGUGAAUACGUUCCCGGGUCU